rnacentral:rRNA from 1 species
AGCAGUGGGGAAUUUUGGACAAUGGGCGCAAGCCUGAUCCAGCAAUGCCGCGUGAGUGAAGAAGGCCUUCGGGUUGUAAAGCUCUUUUGUCAGGGAAGAAACGGUGAGAGCUAAUAUCUCUUGCUAAUGACGGUACCUGAAGAAUAAGCACCGGCUAACUACGUGCCAGCAGCCGCGGUAAUACGUAGGGUGCAAGCGUUAAUCGGAGUUACUGGGCGUAAAGCGUGCGCAGGCGGUUUUGUAAGUUUGUCGUGAAAGCCCCGGGCUCAACCUGGGGAAUUGCGAUGAAGACUGCAAGGCUUGAAUCUGGCAGAGGGGGGUAGAAUUCCACGUGUAGCAGUGAAAUGCGUAGAGAUGUGGAGGAACACCGAUGGCGACAGCCCCUGGGUCAGAUUGACGCUCAUG